UACGUAGGGUGCAAGCGUUGUCCGGAAUUAUUGGGCGUAAAGAGCUCGUAGGCGGUCUGUCGCGUCUGCUGUGAAAACCUAGGGCUUAACUCUGGGCGUGCAGUGGGUACGGGCAGACUAGAGUGCGGUAGGGGAGACUGGAAUUCCUGGUGUAGCGGUGAAAUGCGCAGAUAUCAGGAGGAACACCGGUGGCGAAGGCGGGUCUCUGGGCCACUACUGACGCUGAGAAGCGAAAGCAUGGGGAGCGAACAGG
rnacentral:rRNA from 1 species